GAUGAACGCUGGCGGCGUGCUUAACACAUGCAAGUCGAACGAUAAAGCCCAGCUUGCUGGGUGGAUUAGUGGCGAACGGGUGAGUAACACGUGAGUAACCUGCCCUUGACUCUGGGAUAAGCCCGGGAAACUGGGUCUAAUACCGGAUAGGAGCGCCUGUCGCAUGACGGGUGUUGGAAAGAUUUUUCGGUCAUGGAUGGACUCGCGGCCUAUCAGCUUGUUGGUGAGGUAAUGGCUCACCAAGGCGACGACGGGUAGCCGGCCUGAGAGGGUGACCGGCCACACUGGGACUGAGACACGGCCCAGACUCCUACGGGAGGCAGCAGUGGGGAAUAUUGCACAAUGGGCGGAAGCCUGAUGCAGCGACGCCGCGUGAGGGAUGACGGCCUUCGGGUUGUAAACCUCUUUCAGUAGGG
rnacentral:rRNA from 1 species